rnacentral:rRNA from 1 species
GACGAACGCUGGUGGCGUGCUUAACACAUGCAAGUCGAACGAUGAAGUUCCUUCGGGAAUGGAUUAGUGGCGAACGGGUGAGGAACACGUGAGAAACCUGCCUUUCAUUUUGGGAUAACUCCGGGAAACCGGGGCUAAAACCGAAUACUCCGUCUCGGCUGCAUCGCAUAGCCGGGAAACAAUUUGGAUGAAAGAUGGUCUCGCGGCCUAUCAGCUAGUUGGUGAGGUAAUGGCUCACCAAGGCAACGACGGGUAGCCGGCCUGAGAGGGCGACCGGCCACACUGGGACUGAGACACGGCCCAGACUCCUACGGGAGGCAGCAGUGGGGAAUAUUGGGCAAUGGGCGCAAGCCUGACCCAGCGACGCCGCGUGAGGGAUGAAGGCCUUCGGGUUGUAAACCUCUUUCAGUAGGGAAGAAGCGAAAGUGACGGUACCUAAAGAAGAAGCACCGGCUAACUAUGUGCCAGCCGCCGCCGUAA